AGAGGCUCCAGCCAUACCAUCAUGAGUACACUGGACCUUGUCUGAUCUCAGGAGUCAAGCAGGGUCAGGCCUGUGGCUGCCUCUA
ensembl:rRNA 5S_rRNA 5S ribosomal RNA